AUACGUAGGGGGCGAGCGUUAUCCGGAUUUACUGGGCGUAAAGGGCGUGUAGGCGGUCUUGCAAGUCAGAAGUGAAAUUCCUGGGCUCAACUCGGGCGCUGCUUCUGAAACUGCAGGACUUGAGUGCUGGAGGGGAUAGCGGAAUUCCUAGUGGAGCGGUAAAAUGCGCAGAUAUUAGGAAGAACACCAGUGGCGAAGGCGGUCUACUGGACAGUAACUGACGCUGAGGCGCGAAAGCGUGGGGAGCAAACAGGAUUAGACACCCUGGUAGUCCACGCUGUAAACGAUGAAUACUAGGUGUGGGGGGACUGACCCCCUCCGUGCCGCAGUUAACACAAUAAGUAUUCCACCUGGGGAGUACGGCCGCAAGGUUGAAACUCAAAUGAAUUGACGGGG
rnacentral:rRNA from 1 species